GCUAAUCCAGGGCGGAGCAGGGAAGGGAGGCCAGCACCAUGGCAGCCCCACUGGCGCCAGGAGCAUCGUGCUGCACCAGCGAGGCAAAAUCCUCCUACUCUAAAUAGAGAUGUAGGGAACGUGAGUUGAAUUAGCCAACUGGACAAAAAAUCAGGUUUCAGUAGUAACAAGGUUUUUCCAUUUGUACGCAACACUAUGUGUUACACAUGGACAGUUAACUUGAGGAUAAAGGUUCUAAAAUGCAAGAAAGCUCUGUGAUAAUCAUAUCAACAGUUCAACCCCGUGAUUUUACUCCAAAAUUGAUGUAUAAACAGGGACUGAUACAGAGUAACUUGCUAAAUCCAUCUUUAUCCUGAUUUGGGUUUGCCCAAUUUUCUAGCCUGACUGUCAUUUGCUAACAUUUUUUUUACCUCCUCAUUGUAUUUUACUGAAAGGUUACUUAUUUGGUAAGUCAAAACGCUUCCUAUUGCUGUUAGUUCUGAACACAUUUUUAGGCGCUAUGUGGGCAUUCUAGGGGUUUAUACAACGAAGGCAUGUUUUGUUUAUUUCACCAGUCAGUUUAAAUCCUUACUGUACAUGUGCCAAGAUGUCUAUUUCUUAUAAUUUAUGUACAAAGCUUGCUAUUUCUGUUUGGUAUCAGAAAGCUCAUAUAUCUCAAAUGGAAUAGUUUAUGAGAGGAACAAAGAAGAAAGGAUGAUGAUAUAUUAUUUUUUUGCUUUUGAAUUGUAAUUUAUAUGCUUACAAUAUUAUACCAAAGUACGUGUUACAGGGUUUAUUCAAAUCAAUAGUUUUUCAUGUAAUACUAGACUGACCUCUACAUUUGCUCAUAACAUUACAGGGUCUGUGACUGAACCUGAAAUGUGCUCAUCGCGUAAUUGAUUUGCACGGACAACUUUUGUUACAUAGGCUGCAAGACGUGUUGAGAGAGAGUAAACGUAUCUAGAACUAAAUACAUUCUCCAUGUCUGGAUUUGUUGAGCCUUUCCAAGGUAUGCUCCUACAUAAUAAUUUAUGCAUUGGCAUUUCAAUGAAAGAGGUACCACAACCUGAAAUGUUUUUCUUUUUCUUGGUUAUUCAUUUUUUCGUAUUAUGCCAGACUCAGUUCGUAAAGGUCACAUUUGCUAUAAAGUAGGUUUAAGAUAUUACUGGCAGAGAUGAAUUGGUCCCUAUGGUCAAAGCUAGGUUCUUUGAGCUGUCCACCAGUAAACUAAAUACGGAAUAUUUUUGCUUCCAAGUUCAGUCCUUUGAACCAAAGACCAAUGCAACAGAGCGACCAAACAAAAUAACACCUGCGAUAAACACGCCAACAUGCUCUCACCAAUACAACAGAUUAACAGAGCAACCAACUGAAACUACGCCUGUGAUAGGCACACCGCACACCAAUAUGAUCCUUCACUCUGCAGGACUGGAAAAUAAAAAAUUUAGGAGCAUAUGGGAAUUGAUUACCUCCUCGACAACUGAGACUGUAUCCGUCAACAUCGCUCUCGACCCACAAAGCCGUGGCGAUGGCUGUGCCAAGCUCAACAUGCCCAUCGAGCUAUUGCACCACCUUUCACAGGGAUGGAAGACUAAGACUAUCACGGAAGCCGCAGGUGCCCUACUGAAGGUCCCCACUCAAGCAAGGAGCAGUGCCAUCCGCGUACCCAUCCUCGCCACAUAAUGCCUCCAAAGAAGACCAUAAGCAUUCCUUCAUCUGACGAAGAGGACAACAAUGCAUCUGAUCGACUAUCUCAGCAAAGUACGGCUAAUUUUGGUAAUCAGCUGCACUGUCGUUCUGAACCACCAAGCUCUCCAUCCACUACGGAGCACCAUAACCACAGAAUCGCCACUCCCACCUGAUAGCCCAUAUAUAUCAGGAUAUGCUCUGCUUUUGUCAUAU